rnacentral:rRNA from 1 species
UACAGAGGGUGCGAGCGUUAAUCGGAAUUACUGGGCGUAAAGCGUGCGUAGACGGUUAUUUAAGUCGGACGUGAAAUCCCUCGGCUCAACCGAGGAACUGCGUCCGAUACUGGAUGGCUUGAGUUCGGGAGAGGGAUGCGGAAUUCCAGGUGUAGCGGUGAAAUGCGUAGAUAUCUGGAGGAACACCGGUGGCGAAGGCGGCAUCCUGGACCGACACUGACGCUGAGUGAGCGAAAGCCAGGGGAGCAAACGGG